rnacentral:rRNA from 1 species
UACGUAGGGGGCAAGCGUUGUCCGGAAUCAUUGGGCGUAAAGAGCGCGUAGGCGGUCCGGUAAGUCCGCUCUGAAAGUCCGGGGCUCAACCCCGGGAGGCGGGCGGAUACUGCCGGGCUAGAGUCCGGAAGAGGCGAGUGGAAUUCCAGGUGUAGCGGUGAAAUGCGUAGAUAUCUGGAGGAACACCGGUGGCGAAGGCGGCAUCCUGGACCAACACUGACACUGAGGAGCGAAAGCCAGGGGAGCAAACGGG